CGAGAGGUGCGAGGCAAAACAAGAGAGAGUUUGGUGAGUGCAUUUUGAGAGAAGAAAAUUGUGAGGAAAAAUCAUAGGAUUUUUCAUCUUUCUUAAAAUAGUAGCUCAGUCCUCUUGUGUUUUCCAAGUUAUUAAACUUGAGAUUUGUGUUUCCCCUAUUUUGUGUAGGGAGAAUUUUGUAAGCCUACUAUAUACAUAGUGGAA
rnacentral:lncRNA from 1 species